rnacentral:rRNA from 1 species
GUCCACGCCGUAAACGAUGAGUGCUAGCCGUUGGACAGCUUGCUGUUCAGUGGCGCAGCUAACGCGUUAAGCACUCCGCCUGGGGAGUACGGUCGCAAGAUUAAAACUCAAAGGAAUUGACGGGGCCGCACAAGCGGUGGAGCAUGUGGUUUAAUUCGAUGCAACGCGAAGAACCUUACCAGCCCUUGACAUGUCCGGACGACUGGCAGAGAUGCCUUUCUCCUAGCAAUAGGUCGGAACACAGGUGCUGCAUGGCUGUCGU